GAAGAGAAAACCAACACAAAUGGCAAUGUGGUCGUGGAUACGUUCUUGUAACUCUGGCAUGAAUCAUUCAGCAGAAGAAUUAUCUUGUGACAAGAAGGUGACAGACUUUGUAGUAAAGACUGUGUAGAAAGCAGAGAUCAGCAG
rnacentral:lncRNA from 14 species